GGAGCAAGUAGAGUUUAAAGAUUCUCUCUUUUCAUUCGAUGAGGUGCUCUUAUGGUGUGUAGAGGUACCCUAUGAAUACAUCCAUGAAGAAAAAUCAUGAAAAGAAAAAACUUAUUUUUUUGUAAAAUUCUAGAUUCAAAAUUUUAGAUUCGAUUGAUUAUGAUGCAUGAUUAGUUAUUUAGAUAUGAAAAAAGAUUUUCAAAUCUAAAUUAGAACUAUUUUUGUAAUGCAUAUAUGGAUCAAAAU
rnacentral:lncRNA from 1 species